GAUGAAGAACGUAGCGAAAUGCGAUAAGUAGUGUGAAUUGCAGAAUUCAGUGAAUCAUCGAAUCUUUGAACGCACAUUGCGCCCCCCGGCAUUCCGGGGGGCAUGCCUGUUCGAGCGUCUCCAGGACGAAUCCUCGCGCGAGUGAACGCGCGGUCGUGGCGGAGGUGGCGUGCCCGAGCAGGGCGGCCACCGCGCUGGAGUCCAUGGGCGGACGCCUGCCGCGUGGCCGAGCGUGAUAUGACGCAUUGGCGCUCGUGCGCGGCGAGGCUGCCAGCCCUGGCCCGUCUGUCGGGCGGGGUAGAUCACCACGUGGGAACUCCUCGAAUCAGGUAGGGAUACCCGCUGAACUUAAGCAUAUCAAUAAGCGGAGGA
rnacentral:misc_RNA from 1 species